UUGCCUUGUUUAUUCUAGACAAUCCUUGUUAGUGAAUAAUACUUUUUCUAUUCUAUUCCUAUUGACUUCGAAUUACGUGAAAUGUUAUAAAAAUGUUGAAGUGCAUGCGACCAAAUUAUUUAUCAUAAAAAAUGGACGAAACGCCGAAGCCUCAUCAAAGUCGCCGACGCUUUAGACACAAAAGUGGACGCAGAUUGAAACUUAGCGCGAAACCGCUUAAACGAAGAGGAACAGCGUUAAUUCAAUACUGGGCUUCCAAAAGGUAAGCUAAUAUUUGAUACACAUCCAUAAUUUCCUUCAUCAAGAACCAUAACAAUCAAUAUAUCUCCAUUUGUAAUUUGAGUAAUAAAGCUUCAAUUCUCAAUCGAAUAUACAAUUAUACAUGUCAACGUUUUUAGAAAUAUUGAACAGUUUCACGAUUCUAUGCUAUGAAAGCUCAGGGAACUUGGAAAACACCCAUUCAAAAAAUGUCAAUUGUCAAUUACGAAUAGUGUAAUCGGCAGACCUAUUUUACACUAAUUUUACUGCAUUUUCCAUAAUAUAUUUUCACUAUUUUUUGAAUGGGAAAUUCGUCAUUGCCACCUAUGAAUAGUCCUAUUGAUCUUGUUUUUUUUUUUGUAAUUCCAGGGGCAGAGGCAGAAGUGAAGCUCAGACCGAAGAGUAUAAUGACUCCGAAAAUUCUACGAUAAAUACGGCCUCUGACGCAGAUUUCGUCGCUGAAGAAAGCAAUGUCUGUGACACUUGUCCAGAAAACAAAGACGUUUACGACACUCAUACAGAAAUAAUUGCAGAAGAAAGAAAAAGAACAGAAAGCAGCAUCACCAAAUUAGAAGGUAGACGAAUAGUGGACAUCAAUUCGUUUAUUGUGCAAAUUCAACAAAUCGAUGACUACUUACCAUUUCAUUGCGGUUUUAAAGAUAUGGUAGUAGUGAAAGAACGAAAUGUAGUUCGCGAACUAUUGUAUGGGGGCGGUAAAAAUUGUUCAGCAAUGGAGUAUGGGAGGAUGAACGAGGAGGCUGCUCUAAAAAAGUUAGUGAGAUAGCUGGACAAAAAAUUUUGAAAUGUGGGCUAUUCAUUGAUGCCGAUUUUCCAUUUCUGGCAGCAUCGCCGGAUGGAUUAUUAGAAGAUGGGCAUGGUAUUGUGGAGGUCAAAUGCCCUCAGACAAUAAAGGACCUACUCCCAAGGGAAGCAGCAAAGUUGAAAAUAUUGAAAUUUUGCAAAAUUGAAGAUACAAAUAUCGAAUUGAACACAAACCAUAACUACUACUAUCAAAUACAGGGACAACUCCACAUUACGAAACGUCAGUACUGCUUAUUUUGUAUAUGGUCGCCAAAGGGGACAGAAGUUGUUACUGUAUACAAAGAUGAGCAGUUCUGGAGUUCGAAGAUUCUUGAACAAGUGAAAAAAUUUUAUAUGGACUGUGUAUUGCCGGAACUUGUUGAUCCUCGACACACGCGUUCAAUGCCAAUUCAAAAUCCAGAUUGGAUUAUUGAGGCGCAAGAAGCACGUAAGAAGAAAUAAUGAUGACACAAACAUAACUGGAAAAUAAAAACAAAUAUUGUCACAUACCACUUAUUUAUUAUUAAAACUUACAUUGAAGUAUUAUUAAAGUAAUACUUUAUUAAAGUAAACUUACAUUAAAGUAAUGUACCUAGGUUUCAUAAUGGCCUAGGCUUACAUUACUUUAAUGUAAGUUUUAAUAAUAAAUAAGUGGUAUGUGCCAAUAUUUGUUUUUAUUUUCCAUUAUGGAGAAAUACCACAACAUCUCCUCAAACACAAUCAAUUAUACAAACAUAACUAUUCUUCCUUUUCUCCUUUUAUAGUAGUAGUUAUGGUUUGUGUUCAAUUCUAUAUUUGUGUCUUCAAUUUUGCAAAAUUUCAAUAUUUUCAUUUUUAACAAAAUCAUUUUUCAUUGUUCAUUGCACCGGUAAGGGCAUUUGUGCAGAGAGAAAAAGAGAAAGAAACGAGUGAGAGCGAGGAGGAGAAUGAGAAGAUUUAGAACGGAAAGAGUGAGGAGAAGUGGAUGGAAAAGAGGGAGAAGAAGAAUAAGGGGAAAAGA